rnacentral:rRNA from 1 species
AAAGAUUAAGCCAUGCAUGUCUAAGUAUAAGCAAUCUAUACAGUGAAACUGCGAAUGGCUCAUUAUAUCAGUAAUAGUUUAUUUGAUGGUCCCUUACUACCUGGAUACCCGUAGUAAUUCUAGAGCUAAUACAUGCACUGCGGUCCCAACUGCCUCGGCGGGAGGGAUGCCUUUAUUAGAUCGAAACCAAUGCGGCGCAAGCCGAUGUUGUGGUGAAUCAUGAUAACCUAGCGAAUCGCAUGCCUUCUGGGCGGCGAUGUUUCAUUCAAGUCUCUGCCCUAUCAGCUUCGGAUGGUAGGGUAUUGGCCUACCAUGGCUU